rnacentral:tRNA from 1 species
GCUACUAUAGUCUAGUGGAUAUGAUACUCUUCUCUCACGGGGAAUAUGUGAGUUCGAAUCCCAUCGGUAGCGCCA